ACACUCCUGCUGCUCAGUUUAUGCCAUCUCAACAUGAAAAUGGUUUCCGGAGUUUUCAUGCUUGGCGUUUUCGCUGUUGUUUUUAUUACGUUUGAUGUUUUGAAUGGAUAUGUUGUUGGAAAAGUUGUGGGAUGUUAUUUCGAGGGGGAAUUACACCAAAACGGGGAAACUUUUGUUUCUAAUUGUUUAAAAUACAAAUGUAACGAUGGAACGAGGACCUUGAUCGAAGGGGG